rnacentral:rRNA from 1 species
UACGGGGGGAGCAAGCGUUGUUCGGCUUUAUUGGGCGUAAAGGGCGCGUAGGCGGUCAGCACAAGUCAGUUGUGAAAUCUCCGGGCUUAACUCGGAAAGGUCAACUGAUACUGUGCGACUAGAGUGCGGAAGGGGCAACUGGAAUUCUCGGUGUAGCGGUGAAAUGCGUAGAUAUCGAGAGGAACACCUGCGGCGAAGGCGGGUUGCUGGGCCGACACUGACGCUGAUGCGCGAAAGCCAGGGGAGCGAACGGG